rnacentral:rRNA from 1 species
AACGUAGGAGACGAACGUUAUCCGGAGUUACUGGGCGUAAAGGGCGUGCAGGCGGUCUGAUAAGUUCGGCGUGAAAUAUUCCGGCUUAACCGGGAUAGGUCGUCGGAGACUGUCGGACUAGAGGGUGAUAGAGGCGUGUGGAAUUCCGGGUGUAGUGGUGAAAUGCGUAGAGAUCCGGAGGAACACCAGUGGCGAAGGCGACACGCUGGGUCACACCGUGACGCUAAAGCGCGACAGCAUGGGAGCGAACGGG